CCUCUUCACUGUGGUGUUUUUUGUUUGUGUGUGUGUUUAUUUUGUUUUUGCUUUUCUUGAAUAAAGCAUCGAUUUUGAAUGGCUCACUAAGAUGGAAGAGGCAGCAGAAAAAAAUGCCCUCCAGUGCCAGAAAGCAUGCUAGCAACUGAGUGAUCUCAGAUGACUGCUCUGAUACAUGCACCAAUGAGCAGGCAGAUCUUGCUACAAAGCAAAAUUCAGAGGAUGGAUGCAGCAGCUUACAAAGAAGCUCGGUGGGUGAUUGGCUUGGGUGGAUGAAAAGCAGCAUCUCUGUGUUUGGCUGGCUGAAGGAGGGCUCUCACAUCCCUCACACCCAAGUGCAAAGAAAAAGGCAUGGUAUCUCAGCAGAGAGCUCCUGCGAUAAGUCGGAUCCAUUCCUAUCCAGAAGCUAGGGGCCAGCUGCAGGCAAGAGGAGAUGCUCAUGCAGAGCUCACAGCAGGAUAGAGGCCAAAAUGACCUUGCUGGGGAGUGACGAAAUUCUCAGAUGUAUACAGCACUGCAGAAAGCACCAGGAGGAGUUGAGCUCACUGAUCCUUGUGAGUCUCUUCCAACUUGGGAUGUUCUGUGAUUCUACGAUUCUUCAUGUCACUUCAGAGCGUACUGAAAAGCAAAGAAGAAAAACUGCAAACGUGUACUCUGUUAAUGAAAUCAAGCAGGAUCCUGAGGAUAUCUUAUAUGCAUUGAGAUCACUUGGUUUCUGCUGCUGGCAGGCAGAUUCAGCAGGAACACAAGCAUACCAGGCAGCUCAGGUGGAGCUCUUCAACUCACCUGGGGAUAAAUCAGAGUUGAGGCUGUAGCUCCCUGGAUUCAGAGGGAACACUGCAGCCAUUGUUUUGUAACCCUUCUCUGCUCUGUCUCUGCGCUGGGAUAUUUGGCAAAGAAAAGAUUCUUCCAGAAGUCUGCCCUGCUCCCUCCACUUCCACCUGAGCUGGUGGCUGGCAAGGGCAGCCUUGGCACAGAU